GCAGACAUGGCUGAAUUGGCAAAAGCGCUUCCCCGCUAAGGAAGGUCCGGGCGACCGGAAUGCAGGAUCGAGACCUGCUGUCUGCG
rnacentral:tRNA from 1 species